CCCAGAUCCACGGGCGCAUACACACAGCAUGUGUUGAUCGGGACGUUUAGCUGGCUGAUAGGCUGACAAGAGUAGAGCGAGCUGCAGAGUGUGGUACCUGUUUGCAGUGAUGCAUGGAUCCAGAAAAUUUUCUGUUAUGGUUAUGUUGGUGACAAGUAAGGCCGAGUUUAUCUCUCAUAUUGAACCCAAUCGGCAAACUCUGUCACAUUAAAGACCGAACUUUAUUAUAUGAUCGAGUACCCUGGCAACACUUUGAUCAAGACUUGGGAUAAACACACGCUGAGUAACAGGCCGUGGCCAUGAGAACUUGAGAAGCCUCGAUCAUGAGAGGAUUGUGUGAAAGGCCCGGUCGAAUCACGGUCGUGCUUCUCGUAUUCAACAAAGAAGUUUGGCAGUGGCAAUAUCAAUUGGUCCAUGGCCAAUUUGCUAGUAUAUGCUUUACCGGUGAGAAAGAAUGUUACUUUGGGCACAUUGUAGUUACUUCCAUAUGAUAUGGAAAUCGAAUAUGUAGACGAUUUUUGGAAAGUUCUUUUCUGCAGUGAAAUAUUCUGAUGCUUUUAGCAAUCCACAUUUUUUGAAAAAGAAAAGUUCUAUUUUUAAAAUUAAAAAAUUCCAUAUUAUUGGUCUAUAUAUUCUCGUGUAUUCUCUCUCUUUACAUUCGUAAUUUGAAUUAUCUCUAAAAUAAAGUAUGUUUUUGGUUUGA